rnacentral:rRNA from 1 species
AUUGAACGCUGGCGGCAGGCUUAACACAUGCAAGUCGAGCGGAGACGAGGUGCUUGCACCUUAUCUUAGCGGCGGACGGGUGAGUAAUGCUUAGGAAUCUGCCUAUCAGUGGGGGACAACAUUCCGAAAGGAAUGCUAAUACCGCAUACGUCCUACGGGAGAGAGCAGGGGAUCUUCAGACCUUGCGCUAAUAGAUGAGCCUAAGUCGGAUUAGCUAGUUGGUGGGGUAAAGGCCUACCAAGGCGACGAUCUGUAGCGGGUCUGAGAGGAUGAUCCGCCACACUGGGACUGAGACACGGCCCAGACUCCUACGGGAGGCAGCAGUGGGGAAUAUUGGACAAUGGGGGGAACCCUGAUCCAGCCAUGCCGCGUGUGUGAAGAAGGCCUUAUGGCUGUAAAGCACUUUAAGCGAGGAGGAGGCUACUGAGACUAAUACUCUUGGAUAGUGGACGUUACUCGCAGAAUAAGCACCGGCUAACUCUGUGCCAGCCGCCGCCGUAAGAC